rnacentral:rRNA from 1 species
UACGUAGGGUGCAAGCGUUGUCCGGAAUUAUUGGGCGUAAAGAGCUCGUAGGCGGUUUGUCGCGUCUGCUGUGAAAACUCGGGGCUUAACCCCGGGCCUGCAGUGGGUACGGGCAGACUAGAGUGCGGUAGGGGAGACUGGAAUUCCUGGUGUAGCGGUGAAAUGCGCAGAUAUCAGGAGGAACACCGGUGGCGAAGGCGGGUCUCUGGCCGUAACUGACGCUGAGGAGCGAAAGCGUGGGGAGCGAACAGG